AAACUUUCAACAACGGAUCUCUUGGUUCUGGCAUCGAUGAAGAACGCAGCGAAAUGCGAUAAGUAAUGUGAAUUGCAGAAUUCAGUGAACCAUCGAAUCUUUGAACGCACAUUGCGCCCGCCAGCACUCUGGCGGGCAUGCCUGUCCGAGCGUCAC
rnacentral:rRNA from 1 species